AGCCUUCCUGGCCACACAAUAGCAGAUUUAAAGGUAGCCAUCCUACAGCAAAAAAACUUCAGGACCAGACUUAGAGAACACAAUUGGGCCCAACCUCCAUGAUAUCUCUUUAUCUUUAAUAUCAAUAAAACAGAAAAAAAUCUUUAAUAUUCUGUUAUCUAGAAUAUGUAGUUUCAUGUGUGUCCUACUUCUGAAUUUUCACUGAGUAAAUAACAAUGUCAAAAACAAUAUAGUAGGACACUUAUCAUAAUAUUUUAAACAGCUUUGUUUUAUACUAACUCCAAGUGCGUGCGGCAAAGAAUAGUUGGAUUCGUUUCUUCUCAGCCUAAGUGAAGUUGAGAUUCGUACACACCUGAGUUCAGAUCCAAAACAUAACCAGCUGGAAUACAUAAUGCAGAAAGAGUCAGCUCAUGUGGGGGAAAAUGUAUCAGUCAGGUCAAUUUGUGAAACUGGAUUUCUUCAGUGGAGGGAAGCUCCAGAAUAAACGAAUAAUAAUUCAACUAUUCCAUAUAAAAUUACACUUACUAAGGCUUAGAUAGCUAAAGCUAAUUUCCAUUAUCUUCUGGGACAGAUUAAGCAAAGUCAAGUACAAUUGUCACCUUCUUCAUAGCCUUAGUUAUAACAAAUAGUAAGGGAAAGGAUGCUGCUAGAAUGUUCUGAGCUUCAAACAAGGUCACAUUUACUCAGCAGCAAAACUGACUUAAGUGGAAAAAGUGUUCCUCCUUUUUCUGAAUACUCUGCUCACUUGUUAACAAUGGGAAUGGACCGUGAAAUGUAUUCUGCUAAAAAAACUUGCAUAGAAUAAUAUGUUUCCAUGGCCUUCUAAAGAGUUAAGAGUAUUGUUUUUUAUUUAAAAGAUCAAUUGCCUGGAUGAGCCAUACAUGCUGAUAUAAAUCAACCUACUUUUCUGCUCAAAAAAUCCAUAAUUAAAUGGUUGCCAGUGCAGAGCCAUAUUUGUUACUUUCACAUUCCCAUUUUACAUUCAUUUUAUUUUGAGGCUUUUAUCUAUCAUAUGCUACCACAGACUCAGACAUAGUUAAACGUGAUUAUUCAAAAUGUGUGGGGUGUGGUCACCUGAUUUUGUGUGAGGUUUUUGUUUUGGCUGAGAAUCUCCAAUUACCAUGGAGUGCUCUCAUUUUGUAAGGUACAGCUCUUUAUGAAUGUCCCAGCCUGCAAGCAUAGGUGGUGGAUGCUAUUUACAAAAUGUCGGGGAACCCAUUUGGCUGUUACAGGUGCAAAUCUAUUUCAAAUUCUCUUUUUGUAAUAGUUCCUCUGCCUGGAUGUGUAUAACUGAAACAUGUAUUACUCUGCAAGUUAAAAAUAAUUAAAACAUUAAAUUCAUAAAUCUUUUUUAAAAAAAGUGUUUAAAAUGACUUUUUAUACCUUCAGUUUAUCAUUUCCAAUGUGCGCCUUUUCUUUUGCUAAAACUAUAAUAAACGAUUCUAAUUUUUUUCUGAAGGUUAUAAUAGACAAAUACUAAAAGAUAUUCAAUACCUGGGCCAAAUUCUGGCUGAUGUUUGCACUGCAGCAGAAGGACUUCUGCCAAAAGCAGUGGUACUGUGCUCAGAGAUCCUUGUUAUGAUGAUCCUUACAUGCACUUUCUCAUGGAUAGGCUCUUUCUGGAAGCAAUAGGAAUAAUUUGCAAGGGGUCAUAGCCCAAUUUGCAUGAAGCAGUCAUUGUUUAGUCAGGGAAUCAAAUAUGCAUAUGCCCCUAAACAUGCACAUUGCAUCCUCUGAUUCUUUGGCUGUGUCUUGUUGCAUCUCUGUGCACUAUAAGUCACGGAUGACCUGCAGAGCACUUCCUCACUUUUUCCCAGAGGAAGAACUGGAGUGGUCAGCAUUGUUCCGCUGCACAGUGCUGCUAACUGUUUUUUUAUUUCUGGCCUGCGUGUAUGCACUGUGCCAGCCAGAGUCUGGAUCUAGGUUUGUGAAAUGACAAAUGCAACAAGAUUAGUAGUUGAGGCUGAAACUCUUUUUUUUGACUACUUCUUCUAGUAUGAUUAAGUUAAUGGACAUGAUUACACCUAUAACUUUGAAUUUUUCUGGCUUUUGUCAGUUUGUGUCUUACUCUUCGCAUUAUGCAGAUCUAAUGUUUGUAUUGGGUGGAAAUAAAGGCUGCAGUCAAUUUGUGCAUUAGUAUAUAUUAACAUUUACAUACAAAUGGUUGUUUUCUGGUUCCAUCGUAUAAGUAGAGUUUGAAGAGCUUUUUGAGUAAAACUAUGCAUCUUUAGUAUUCCAAAGUCUAAGAUGUAGAGAACCAGGUGCAGAUCGCCUCACUUACUAGCCAUAUUAAUGUAAUUGCAAUGGCAUUAGUCCAACUCCUACUUAGCUCUAGACUCAGUUCUCUUAUCUUACUUCUGUGAGAGAUCUAAUUGGUAUGAUAAAUGUAGGUAUAAACAUUUACAUAUAGACUAGCAGUUUUAUUUUUAUUUUUAUACUGUGGCCCAACUACAGUUUGGCAUUCAUUUUUUCAGUAACGCUAAUGGCACUCCAACCUGUUAAAUAGAGCAGACAUGCACAGUUAUAUUCAAAUGAGCAUUUUGGGGUCUGAUUUUUUUCAGUGCAGCCUUAUUUUGGAAUUAUGUAUAUUGGGGAGUACCUACAUCUGUUCUUUUCAAACACUAAUAACUGCACUUUGGACAAAUGGGAUUUGCGUGUGUGCAAACUGUUUAGUUUCUGCAAGGAUUAGUGUUUUAGAAGUAUGUGCAGGUGUUUGCCUUCGCAACUGGUAACUGCUUUCUGAACCCUGUUUGUAUGUAUUUAUUUGUAUAUAAAAACGAUAUACCUUGUAUGUGCAAGCAAUAGAAAAGGUCAAAUGCUGAAUGUAUAUUUAACAUAUGAAAAAUCUUAGGUACAAAGAACUGGAUAUAAACAAAGAUGUUUCCAGUUGUCAUGUUUUGUUUAAAAUUUCAAAAUCAAAGCGAUUCUUAUUAAUGAUUUAUUUGAUGGAGAGUCUUUUAAUUAAUUUAAACAAUUUCAAAACAAUCUGAAUCUAUUUACAAAUAUUAAUAUCUUUAUUAAUGUGAUCUUUCAUAAUGACGUGAGAAAUGUGAUCAGUAAGAGUUGCAGUUGAGACCUGGAAAAGACAUUUUCUAAUCUUUACUGGUAUAAUGUUAUAAGAAAAAUAAAAUGUAUAAUCCGUUUAAACAGAUGGUGAAAGAAUGUUGGGGAAUGAUCAGGAAAAAUACAAAAUACACUCUUAAUGUAGCAAAAUAAGUAAUUGUACAGUGUGUAAUCUUUGCUACACAAAGUAUACAUUACCAUGCAUAGUUUAGCAUCAUAUAAAAGAAGUUGUCCAUAUGCCAUCCACUCCCGUUGGUGCUCUUACAUGCAUUCUGGACAUGUCUCCAACUGGAGAUGUAUUCAUAAGCAGUAAGACACACAAUUUAUUCCAUAUAGAAAUUUCAUCUUGACGUUAAUUGUGCUUGUUAUGGACUGUGAAGGAUGUCACAAUGGAUUUAUACAAAGAAGUCAAUUCAUUUAACAUUGCUGAUGGCAAAGUAUCAAAUCCUCAUUAACUGGAAACCUCUCGAAGCAUUCAGGGACUGCUGAUGUAUCUAAAGGACAUUAAAGCACUGGAGAAUACGUGUUUAAAGAGCCAAUAGUCUGCCCAACUUUGAGUAAAAAACUUUCAUCGAGUGCAAAAUACGGGACUUGGACCUAGAAAUAAGUACCUGGAUGUGAAAGACUUGAGAUUGUUAGCUCAGUGGCCACUAUGAAUGUACUUUUUUUUUCUGCUUUGAUUUCCAGUUUUUUCCCUUUACCUCUUCGUACCAAUAUUCCUGCCCUCAUAGUUGUCAUUUCUAGUCCUUCA